CAACGAACCGACGAGCGAAUGGGGCUCUGCACUGAUUCGCUGUCGAACCGGAGGGAAACGAAAAUCGAAACACGCUGGCACAACCGACCGAAAACGAAGCAAUCCUCUCGAGCUUCUGUUUCGCACUCCUUAGGAUCCAGGGUAAAUUAAGAAAAACUCUGAGAGACAUCUCAUGACCAACAUCGGAAGGAAUCUUCUGAGAGAAGUUCCAGGAGAUACUCCGAGAAAAAUCUCAGGUAAAACUUCAAAAUAAACCUCGCGAAAACUUUUAACAAAUUCCUGUAGGAGACUAGGAAGAACAUCUCGAAGAAAGCCCAAAGCAAUGGUUUGAAGAUAUCACAGGAAACAAAUGAAAGAAAUCUUCUGAGGAACUCUUGCACUAUUGUGAAAACUCCUUCAGAAACCCUUGGAGGAACUUUAGUAGAAACCCCAGGAAUAACUGCUUUAGCAACUCUGAAAGACAUUCUGUGAAGAUCUUCUGGGGAAGUCCCAAGAAGAACACCGGAAGGAAUCGGGUAAAAUUUCCGUGAGGUGUGCCGAAAGAAAUUCCACGAUUUAUCCCGACAGAUAUUCUUAUAGAGUAUUCGGGAUAAAUUCUGGUGGAAAUCCUAUGAUUAUUUCAGCAAAACACUGGAGGAACUCUGUGAAGAAAUAGCAUCCCCGUGAAAAACUCCAGGAGAAACCGGUUGGAAUUCAGGAAUCCUGGAAGGAAUCCGGAAGUAUACCUUCCCGGAAAAAAAAUCAAAUAGGAAUACCCAAAAAAAUAGCGUCAAAAAUGCGGAAGGAAUUUUAUAAGAAAUCCUGGGAGACAUUCCAGGAGGUAUUUUUAAAGAAGUUCCAGAAAGACAUGUUGACGGAAUUUCUGGAAAAAAUCCUUGUAGCGAAAUUUCUAUAUGGAUUUUUACUACCAGGUUCAUACGACUCAAUGUUUUUUUUUUAUCGGAGUAAAAUUUCCCUGAGCACUCCAGAAAUUCCCUGAGUAUUCCAGGUUUUUCCCUGUUAAAUAAAAUUCCCUGAGGAUUCCCGGUUUUCCAGGUUUUUCCAGGUAGUAGACACCCUGUGUAUGUGCUAUCACAAUCGAUGUAUCUGUUGGAAACCUCAACAGGAAAUACGUUUAUUGUUCGGUUUAUUUACCGCAUGAUGAACCAUCCCCUACGGAUGCUUUCAAGCAAGUCAUUGCAUACUGCACUUCAAAAGGCCUUCCGCUAAUUGUUGGUAGUGAUGCUAAUGCUCACCAUAUAAUCUGGGGCAGCUCAGACAUCAAUUUGAGAGGCUCCAGUUUGAUGGAAUACUUAAGUAGUACAGAUCUUGGAUUACUUAACAUAGGCAACCGCCCAACCUUCAUGGUAUCUGGUAGAGAGGAAGUGUUAGACAUAACGCUUUGCUCUAGCAGAAUUAGUCACGAGCUGACCAAUUGGCAUGUGUCAGAUGAAGAAUCUUUAUCUGACCAUCGCUACAUCUUGUUUGAACAUGUGAAUGUUACUUCGCAAACUUUGCGUUUCAGGAAUCCCCGGUCAACCAACUGGGAUCUCUUUACUGAUUUGGUUGCAGCCAAAUUUCAUGGAUACUCACCAUCAAUUGAAACUCCAAGUGAUUUAGAUGAUGCCGUUGAUACUACAACGGCCUUCAUCAUGGAAGCUUUUGAAGAAGCCUGCCCUCUGCGGUCUGUGAAGACCACAAGAGGGGUUCACCAAGGGGUUCGAACUCCGAUCUGGCGAAGCUCAGGAAACAAUGUAGAAAGAGUUGGAACAGACGACGUUCGGCUGGAUCGGAGGCUUUCAGGUCGGCUCGCAAGGCCUACCAGAAAGCUCUUCGGUCUGCUGAACGAUCCGGCUGGAAAAACCUUUGUACAAAUGUUUGCAGUCUGAGUGAAGCCAGUCGAUUGAACAAAAUCCUUCCAUAAUCUAAGGAUUUUCAAGUGAACGAACUUCCUUUGCCAAAUGGUGAUUUCACUUCCUCUGAUGAGGAAGUUUUGGAAUGUUUAUUCAGUACACACUUCCCCGGAUGUGUGGAUAUUACAUCUUCGGAUGAACCUGAUGUCUUUUCUUGUAGUUAUGAUUCUUUAGCUUCGGCUCGGAGUAUCAUAACUUUUGAAUCUAUUUAUUUAUUUAUUCACUUUACAUCAACAGACAACUUUGUCCCAAUGAUUGUUAAAACUAUUUGAUACUACCAACUAUAACAACAGAUAACACAAACACAAAAUCACUAUUCGUCAGCAUUUGUACAAAAUAUCACAGAAAAAUUACGUCUGAUUGUUGCACGAGACAAAUUAAAAUCGAAACCGGUUGCUGCCCUAUUGAACACUCGAAGAGCACCAUGAAUAGCAAUAUUCUGGCCGUAGUCGGUUCGUUGGAGCGGUAAUCUCAGCAUAUAAUUGUUUCGUAACGCUCUUGGACGGACGUUCAAAUCAACUGCCGCCAGAAUUGCUGGGCAGUUUGUUCUUCCUCGAAUUGUGUCAGCCACAAACAUUGCCCUGGCGAUAUUUCGGCGCGCCUGGAGAGUUUCCAACUGGAUCAAACGACAUCUACUCUCAUAGCUCGGUAAUCUAAACGGAUCCUGCCAUGGAAGUCGACGGAGAGCAAAACGUAAGAAGCGGCGCUGAACCGAUUCGAUCCUGUCCAUACCGUUCUGGUGAUACGGAUACCAGACGACCGAGCAGUACUCUAGGGAUGAGCGGACGAGCGAACAGUACAGCGACUUGAGGCAAUGUAUGUUGCUGAAAUUCUUGGCGAUGCGAAAAACAAAACCCAUUGUUCUGGAGGCUUUUUCUACUACGUACGAUACAUGUUGUUUGAAUGUCAGCUGAGUGUCAAGGAUUACUCCCAAAUCCUUCACAUGGUCGACACGUUGAAUUUCACAGCCAUUAAGCUUAUACGAGAUGAUGAUCGGCUGGCGAAUGGGGUAAAAAGACAUUACGAAACAUUUGUUUGAAUUAACGACCAUGCCAUUCAAAUCGCACCAAUCCGCGAAAAUAUUGAGCUCUUCCUGAAGACGCGUAUUGCAUCAUAAACAGAGCAAAUCUUCAAGUAGAUUUUCAAAUCGUCCGCGAAUGAUAGUUUAGGGCCUUUAAUUGCGUAGUUGACGUCGUUGAAAUAUAGCAGAAAAAGUAGUGGCCCCAGAAUCGAUUGAAUGGGCACUUGAUAGCUUAGCUCCUUUCAAAUCUCCUGGGGCAGAUGGGAUUUAUCCUAUUUUGCUUCAGAAGUGAUUUGAUCAUUUCAAACAUGUUUUGAAACAACUUUGUUUGCAGUUUUGCUACAGGGUAUAUUCCCAAAUCCUGGCGGGAUAUUACUGUGAAGUUUAUUCCGAAAGUGGGUCGCGCGUCGUAUGAAGAAUCAAAGAGCUUCACACCUAUCAGUUUGACCUCUUUUCUUCUGAAAUGCUUAGAACGCAUAGUCGAUCAUCACAUCCGUGAUGUUCAUCUGGCCAAUGUGCCUCUUUAUGUGAACCAACAUGCCUACCAAUCUGGAAAGUCCACUGUGACUCUUUUACACAAAGUUGUUUACGAUAUCGAGAAGGCAUUCGCUCAAAAGCAAUCCUGCUUGGGUGUUUUCUUACAUAUCGAGGGUGCCUUUGACAAUGUGCCUUUCGAUGCCAUAUUGGAAGCCGCAUGGGGUCAUGGUAUAUCUCCAAUGAUUUCCAAUUGGAUUCACCAAAUGCUCAAAAACCGACAUCUCUUCUCGACAUUGCGUCAAGCGGCGAUUAGGAAAUUGAGUGUUUGUGGAUGCCCCCAAGGGGGAGUCUUAUCAACACUUUUAUGGAAUCUCGUAGCAGAUACGCUAUUGAGGCAACUCAAUAAUAGCGGUUUUCCUACUUAUGGUUUUGCCGACGACUACCUAACAUUGUUAGUCGGUAUGUGCAUCAGCACCCUUUUCGACCUGAUGCAAAACGCUCUUCAGGUAGUUGAGGGUUGGUGUCGCCAAUAUGGCCUUUCGGUAAAUCCGAGUAAAACAUCUAUUGUUCUUUUCACGGAAAAGCGAAACCGUAAUGGUGUUCGAACUUUACGUCUCUUUGAUUCUGAAAUCAAUGUGACUGAACUGGUGAAGUAUGUUGGAGUCAUUCUUGAUUGCAAGCUUUCCUGGACACCUCAUGUUGAGUUCAGAAUCAAGAAAGCUUGUAUGGCCUUCGGGCAAUGCCGGCGAACCUUUGGUACAACUUGGGGUCUAAAACCCAAGUAUAUCAAAUGGAUCUACACAACUGUUGUUCGGCCAAUAUUGGCCUAUGGAUGUCUUGUGUGGUGGCAAAAGGGCGAAGUGAGAACGGCCCAAUCAAAGUUAGGCCAUUUCCAAAGGAUGUGCCUAAUGCUAUGUUCAGACUACGCCGUUGUAUCAUGAUACAAGCGGUUUUGGUGAUACAAGGCCAAUAUCAUGUUUCUGGAACAUGAUACAGCCAUACAUUUUUGACACCUCCAAUAUCACCUUCCCGAACGUGAUAUUCUGAAUAUCACGAUACAACUGCUCGAAUUCGGUGCUCGAAUGAAGCAUUUCUGGCAACACUGGUAGGGAUUUGACAUAAAUGUCAUCUGAAAUGUUUGUUUUGUUGUAGUUUUCAUUUUCUCAACGGGAAUGAAGAAAUUGGCAAAGUUUGUAAUCCAAAAGUUCCAAAUCAAAAAUUCAAAACUCAUCCGCAAAAUCGGAGAGGGCCGGCGCAGAGAAACAGACCCGGAGAUCAACGUAGGGACGAUACUUCAAUGGUGGCCGCAACGAAAAAACCGGAAAGUGUGGAACAUUGCAUCGGAAUAUCAACCACUGAAGAGUCUCGAUCAGAUCAAGGAGAAAACAUCACGGUGAACAUACAAUACACCAGUUCGCACAUCCAUCAGCUGGAAAUCCCUCCCGGAAGCACGCACUUCAUCGUCCAAUUCGUCAGACGGUCUCACGGAAGCGCGUCACUGCAAAAGAUUACAGUUGCCGGAGGGUUUUUGAUGCACUAGAAUGAGCUCUCUACGAACUUCAAUUAUUUCCAUAGUUUUCCCCCACGGCAACGGGAAUGGGCUACGAUGUUGUUCUGCAGCUAGAGUUCGGUAUCACAGCGUCUGCUUCCAGAUUAGAAUUCCAAUCUCCAUUACCGGAAACUCAAUCUUCCGAGAGCGAAUCGUUCAAACGAAUGAUGAAGCUGAUGCUGAAGGACGUCUCGAGAUGCGGCCAACAGAUUAGUCGGCAGCAAAACAGGAAGCAAUCUGAGUAUCAAUCCGUCCCCACGCUGGAAUAUGAGUACUCUGUCCGGAAGAUGUCUAUCUAUAGGUAGCUAGUGUAUCGUGCGUCAUAUUGUUGCUUGUAUUAUUACUGGCAAGCGCGAAUGGUCAAGAAAAGGUCGAGAACGAAAACUGUUUCUUUUGUAGUACAAUGGUCGUUGAUUUUUAUAAUAUUUCAUUAUAUUGGGAGGGAGAAGAGUCGUAUCUCGUCCACCAGAAUUCCGAAUAAACAUUUAUAUUGAGAGCUUCGAUUUCUGUA